CAGUUUCACCAUAUGCUCAUUUGACCAGAUGGCACUAGUGCCCCUGUGCUGAAUUUGGUUGCCAUGAACUUAUGGCAACACAGGGUGAGUGAAGAACAGGUUGUUUCUCUUUUCUUGGAUUUUGAGAGGCAAGGAGGAUGUGUGUAGGACCACUAGGAAAAUUUCUGUUAUGAACUGUUGGGUUUUGGAUCACUGUUUCAGGAUGAGUACUGUGCAAAAUUAACUGACCACUAGGAGAGAUUAAGAGUUAAGACCCAAGAUGGGUCUGCAGGACAGCUUUUGCUGGGCUUUUUAGUGUCUGAAAACAGUGGCAACAUGACCUCAUGGGAAAGCUCUUGCACAUGGAUCUUUCUUCAGCGUGCUGUGUGGGAUAGCCAGUGCCUGGUGAGUGUUACGUUUGGAGGAAGAGCGUGUUUGUUCAGAGAGACCUCUAAUUAGACGGUACAGCAACCCUACAGCUGGAUAGCCCGCACUGCUUGCCUCUGACAAGAGCUUUCUGUUUGUGCCAGCAGUUGUUAUGACACCGGCAUAUCCCAGCAGUGGGAGGCACCAUCGAAUAGAUCCGCAAAUGCAUGCAAGAAUGCACGAGGCAAAGGAAAACAGAAAGAAAGAAAAAAAAAGUGCUGCUUCUGCUAUGUCUGCAUGCUUCCAGCUGCUCCCUGGGAAGCAUCGGUCGCGGGCCCCAGGGCACCGCAGCCCGCUAGGGGGAGGCAUCGGCUCGGGAAAGCCCCCGGAUCCCGCCCCGCACCGCCCCGCGCCCGGGGCAGCUCCAGCUGCACGUUCUCCUACUCCCAUAGGUUUGCAGCAUCUGCAAAAAGCCUCUUGGAAAUGGAGCCUAUCUGCAUCAAUUCAAAGGCCAACAUUUCUGAUGGAUACAUCAACCUAGAUAAAGGAGAUUAUUACAGCCAAGUUAGCACAAAUCACAAAUCUGCUGAGGCUUGAAAGCACUAUUGUGGUCUCUCUUCUUUUGUUUCACUCCCUCAUUUCAAGUAAAUAUUAUUGUAGUGUGGAUUCAUGGCCUGUUUUAUUUAACUGUGAUAUCAGAUGCCUGAGACUCAAAUGCCAUCAAGCCAUUCAUAUAUAGUUAUCCUAAACACAAAGCAAGCAUUGUGCACUCUAAAUGAAUGUGUUUAAUUACCUUCAACCCAUUUGAAUAAAGCUGUACCACAUGACUGGCA
rnacentral:lncRNA from 1 species